UACGGAGGGUGCGAGCGUUAAUCGGAAUUACUGGGCGUAAAGCGCACGCAGGCGGUUUGUUAAGCUAGAUGUGAAAGCCCCGGGCUCAACCUGGGAUGGUCAUUUAGAACUGGCAGACUAGAGUCUUGGAGAGGGGAGUGGAAUUCCAGGUGUGCGGUGAAAUGCGUAGAUAUCUGGAGGAACAUCAGUGGCGAAGGCGACUCCCUGGCCAAAGACUGACGCUCAUGUGCGAAAGUGUGGGUAGCGAACAGG
rnacentral:rRNA from 1 species